rnacentral:lncRNA from 1 species
AACGAGGUUUCUAAAAGGGAAGACCUGAUAAUGACACGAGCAGUUUGCUUUUAGUGCCAGGUGACGGUCAUUACUGAAGCACCACCUGCUGAAAUAAGACCCACUGUCGGCAGCGAACAAGUGGGCCCUCCAAACACCCUCAACUGUUCCUGUCCUGCUGGAGAAAAGGGUGAGAGGGGCCCCGCUGGCCCUGAAGGUCCUAGAGGUCAAAAGGGAGAAAGUGGCAGCCAAGGACUUCCUGGUUUAAAAGGAGAAAAAGGAGACUCGGUAAGUCAGAGCUGUCAGAGGCUGACUGAUUUUGUAGUGGAAUGUGAGA